rnacentral:lncRNA from 1 species
CUCUCUCUCUCUCUCUCUCUCUCUCUCUCUCUCUCUGCCUCCUGCUUAUGUAUUAAGAUAUAAGCUCUCAGCUACUGUUCCAGUGUCUGCCUGCCCGCCUGCCUGCUGCCAUGCUCCCUGUCAGGAUGGUCAUGGAAUCAUGUUCUGAAAAUCUUAAGACCCAAUUAGGAAGAUAAGCUAUUAAUCUACAAAGAGGCAAUGAAAAAUCCAAGAGUAAAGCCACAAUUCCGAUGUCCUGAGGUGGCUUGAGAAGAGGAUGUCUGAGUUAUUUCAGCUCUGAAUGCUGGUGAUUCCAUGUGAGGAGCUUCACCAGCCAGCACAUGCUGAAUUGGCAAUGGGUACCUGCAGAGAAACAAGGGGACCAGACACCAGAUGGCCCACGUGAUCCAGCAUCCAGAACAGCUUCAAGGCUGCUGGCUGAGAUGGUCCAACCUUACAAACUACUCCAGUCAAGACCUCACAAUUAUCCUAAUUUUCUCAAGGUCCCCCAAAAGAUAACAAUGCCUACAAACAACAGGAAGUAGUCUAGAGAACAAUGCCCGAGAUGGAGUAUGGGGAUGUCUGGCAAGUGCACUGCCCUGCCCUGAUGUCAGUUCAGCAACUCUCCUUCAUCUUCUAUUUUGUUCCAUUGAUCUACAUGUCUGUUUUUGUGCCAGUCUCAUACUGCUUUUAUUACUAUAGCUUGUAGGGAGACACCAUAACCACGCCUCCUAAGGGCUGGAUACAGGUGUGUCCAACCACGCCCAUAAUGGUGUGGUCAAGGUGACAUGGUAAAGGUUUAAACAGAUAGCCAAGGCACAUGAUAGCACUCUUUUGUUUCAUGCUUCUGCUCGCUCUGGUUUCCUGUCAAUUGGCAUUUACUUAUUAAAGAUAUCCUGACCAUUACUGGCUACGUAUUAGUUAUUCAUUGUAAUAAUAGCUAUGUGUUAUGACUUGAAAUCAGGAAUAGUGAUACCUCCUGCAUGGUUCCUUUUGCUCAGAAUUUCUUUGGCUGUCCAAGUUCUUUUUGUACUUCCCAAUUAAUUAAAAAAAAACUUUUUUUCUAUCUCUGUGAAAAAUAUCAUUAGAGUUUUGAUGGGGGGUUUUAUUGAAUACAGGGAUUGCUUUAGAUAAGAUAGUCAUUUUCACAAUAUUGAUUCUUUCAGUCUAUGAAAAUGAGG